ACGUAAUGGUAUGGUAUCCUUAUCUGAAUACAUAGGGUAAGGAAGACAGACCCAGGGAACUGAAACAUCUAAGUACCUGGAGGAAGAGAAAGCAAAUGCGAUUUCCUGAGUAGCGGCGAGCGAAACGGAACAUAGCCCAAACCAAGAGGCUUGCCUCUUGGGGUUGUAGGACAUUCUAUACGGAGUUACAAAGGAACGAGGUAGACGAAGCGACCUGGAAAGGUCCGUCGUAGAGGGUAACAACCCCGUAGUCGAAACUUCGUUCUCUCUUGAAUGUAUCCUGAGUACGGCGGAACACGUGAAAUUCCGUCGGAAUCUGGGAGGACCAUCUCCCAAGGCUAAAUACUCCCUAGUGAUCGAUAGUGAACCAGUACCGUGAGGGAAAGGUGAAAAGCACCCCGGAAGGGGAGUGAAAGAGAUCCUGAAACCGUGUGCCUACAAAUAGUCAGAGCCCGUUAACGGGUGAUGGCGUGCCUUUUGUAGAAUGAACCGGCGAGUUACGAUCCCGUGCGAGGUUAAGCUGAAGAGGCGGAGCCGCAGCGAAAGCGAGUCUGAAUAGGGCGUUUAGUACGUGGUCGUAGACCCGAAACCAGGUGAUCUACCCAUGUCCAGGGUGAAGUUCAGGUAACACUGAAUGGAGGCCCGAACCCACGCACGUUGAAAAGUGCGGGGAUGAGGUGUGGGUAGCGGAGAAAUUCCAAUCGAACCUGGAGAUAGCUGGUUCUCCCCGAAAUAGCUUUAGGGCUAGCCUUAAGUGUAAGAGUCUUGGAG
rnacentral:rRNA from 1 species